CGCUGGCGGCAUGCCUUACACAUGCAAGUCGAACGGCAGCACGCCUGCUUGCACCUGGUGGCGAGUGGCGAACGGGUGAGUAAUACAUCGGAACAUGUCCUGUAGUGGGGGAUAGCCCGGCGAAAGCCGGAUUAAUACCGCAUACGAUCUACGGAUGAAAGCGGGGGACCUUCGGGCCUCGCGCUAUAGGGUUGGCCGAUGGCUGAUUAGCUAGUUGGUGGGGUAAAGGCCCACCAAGGCGACGAUCAGUAGCUGGUCUGAGAGGACGACCAGCCACACUGGGACUGAGACACGGCCCAGACUCCUACGGGAGGCAGCAGUGGGGAAUUUUGGACAAUGGGCGAAAGCCUGAUCCAGCAAUGCCGCGUGUGUGAAGAAGGCCUUCGGGUUGUAAAGCACUUUUGUCCGGAAAGAAAUCCUGAGGGCUAAUAUCCUUCGGGGAUGACGGUACCGGAAGAAUAAGCACCGGCUAACUACGUGCCAGCAGCCGCGGUAAUACGUAGGGUGCGAGCGUUAAUCGGAAUUACUGGGCGUAAAGCGUGCGCAGGCGGUUUGUUAAGACCGAUGUGAAAUCCCCGGGCUCAACCUGGGAACUGCAUUGGUGACUGGCAAGCUAGAGUAUGGCAGAGGGGGGUAGAAUUCCACGUGUAGCAGUGAAAUGCGUAGAGAUGUGGAGGAAUACCGAUGGCGAAGGCAGCCCCCUGGGCCAAUACUGACGCUCAUGCACGAAAGCGUGGGGAGCAAACAGGAUUAGAUACCCUGGUAGUCCACGCCCUAAACGAUGUCAACUAGUUGUUGGGGAUUCAUUUCCUUAGUAACGUAGCUAACGCGUGAAGUUGACCGCCUGGGGAGUACGGUCGCAAGAUUAAAACUCAAAGGAAUUGACGGGGACCCGCACAAGCGGUGGAUGAUGUGGAUUAAUUCGAUGCAACGCGAAAAACCUUACCUACCCUUGACAUGGUCGGAACCUUGGAGAGAUC
rnacentral:rRNA from 1 species